rnacentral:rRNA from 1 species
GACGAACGCUGGCGGCGUGCUUAACACAUGCCAGUCGAACGAUGAAGCCUAGCUUGCUAGGUGGAUUAGUGGCGAACGGGUGAGUAAUACGUGAGUAACCUACCUUUAACUCUGGGAUAAGCCCGGGAAACUGGGUCUAAUACCGGAUACGACCAAUCUCCGCAUGGGGUGUUGGUGGAAAGCGUUAUGUAGUGGUUAUAGAUGGGCUCACGGCCUAUCAGCUUGUUGGUGAGGUAACGGCUCACCAAGGCGACGACGGGUAGCCGGCCUGAGAGGGUGACCGGCCACACUGGGACUGAGACGCGGCCCAGACUCCUACGGGAGGCAGCAGUGGGGAAUAUUGCACAAUGGGCGCAAGCCUGAUGCAGCGACGCCGCGUGAGGGAUGACGGCCUUCGGGUUGUAAACCUCUGUUAGCAGGGAAGAAGAGAGAUUGACGGUACCUGCAGAGAAAGCGCCGGCUAACUACGUG